UACGUAGGUGGCAAGCAUUGUCCGGAUUUACUGGGCGUAAAGGAUGCGUAGGCGGACAUUUAAGUCAGAUGUGAAAUACCCGAGCUUAACUUGGGUGCUGCAUUUGAAACUGGGUGUCUAGAGUGCAGGAGAGGUAAGUGGAAUUCCUAGUGUAGCGGUGAAAUGCGUAGAGAUUAGGAAGAACACCAGUGGCGAAGGCGACUUACUGGACUGUAACUGACGCUGAGGCAUGAAAGCGUGGGGAGCAAACAGG
rnacentral:rRNA from 1 species